GAAUUUUCUCCUCUUUUUUUUCGAAUUAAUUUUAUUUAAUAUUAUAAAAUUUUUGAUAUUUUUCUCUUUCAUCUUGUAUUAUAAAAAGUCAUAGAGCUUCUCCUUGUUAUCCUUCGUUACUCUUUGUCCAAAAAGACUGACCGUUUCUUCUGUAUCUCUCUCUUUAAUUAUAAAAUUCUUCUUCCGGAAAUUCUCCUUUCAGAGGAACCAGUUUCUUCACUUCUCUGUACAGCCUGCUCAAGUGUUUUUUUUUCCAAUUAGAUCUUAUUAUCAAGCUAGAGAGAAGAUGAAUCACUGUGCAAUUCAACAAGGUGCUUUCGCCGCCUGUGAAGACAUGUGGAGCUCCGUUUCUUCAAUUUCAGAUAAGAAGGAUGCCGUUGUUUGCCCCAAGCCACGGCGUCUCGGCCUUUUGAACGCCACCAUAACUGAACCUAUCAGACCUCUCAGAUGGCAUGUUAGCCAUCAGCAAGAGCUAUGUGAUUCCAGAGCUGGAGCUGAUCUAUUGGACAUCAUCCUCGCUAAGGGUGGUGGUGGUGCGGAUCAAUCAUCUGCUGCACAGGUAGCCUCGUCGCCCCCCUUUUUUUGUGGGUCACCGCCGAGCAGAGUAUCUAACCCAUUAAUUCAAGAUGCACGUUUUGGUGAUGAGAAGGUCACCCCAGUUUCACCACGGGCAAUUCCUAUACCAUCCGGACUGGCCUCGUCCCCAUCCACAUCCACCAGAAAAGGUGGAUGCGUGAGGGCAAAUUUUGGCAACAAUCCAGCCGUUAGAGUUGAGGGCUUCGAUUGCCUUGACAGGGAUCGCCGUAACUGCAGCAUCCCUACCCUGGCUUAAUCAAACCCUCGAAAUUCGAAAUCCAUUUCAACAGAAGAGAAAAGUAAAUAUAGAGGUAAUAUGAAGUUUGUUUACACGAGGAGAGAGUAAAUCAGCCUUAUGUCUUUAGCAUCACCAGGAGGAGGAGAAACAGGAAUUUUGAACGUGAGAAAAAGAAUCCUUUUUACCUAAUGUAAAUAUGUUUAAAAAGGGUGUAGUUAAGUGUCUGUAAGUAAAAAAAAAAAUGAGAGUUGUGUUGUUCUUAACCCAAGUAAAUAAUUAUGAGAUAAAAAUUAGGAGUUGUUCUGGUAAAGGUGGGUAAAAACCCUCUUGGAGAAUGGUGUUGUAAGUAUGAAGAAGUUAAGGAGAAAAUUUUUAGGAUUUUGUCCAUUAUGUGGUGGUUUAGAAAUGUCAAUAUGGGCGGCUUUGGUUAAGAGAUCAAAAAAAUGAAGGAAAAAAACCUUUAUUAGUUGUUGAGUGGAGUCAUGGUUGUAGUCAAUUCACUUUUUGUAAAUAUAUGAAAAAUAUGUACAAAUAUCCUUUACGGCUAAUAUGAUAUAUGAUCAUUU
rnacentral:misc_RNA from 1 species